rnacentral:antisense_RNA from 1 species
AGGCCGCCACCGCCACCGCCACCGCCACCAGUGCCAGAAUCGCCUCUCGGGGGUCGCCGGGUGUCUCCCACUCCCCCGGCCUCGGGACGGGGCCCGCAGUCCGCAGCCUCUCCCGUGGAAACCGGGCCUCCCGUCCCUGUGCGUCGCGAGCGGGCUCCGGCCAGCGCCAGAUGCGAGCGCGCCGGGAAGGGCUGAGAAGACUCGCUCUUCGGGAGCUCGAGUGGCUUCUUAGGACCCCGCAGGGCGGGUUUCCAGGCCUGCCACGGCCUCCGGUGUGGGCGUGACGAGCCCUCCUCCCUGGAGUUCAGCCCUCGGCUUGGGACCGCCCGCCGGGUUGCUCGGAGGCCCCGGAGCAUCGGAAAGGGCGGCUGGAGGCUCCCGGAGCGGGCUCAGCCUGGGAGCCCGGCGACUACGCUCUGAAAUCCUGGGCUCCAUUCCAUAUUUUUUGGCGUUUUUAGAAGAUGGUCACGGCCCACUUUCGCUUUUCAGAGGACCAGAAAGCCUUAACAGGGAGUUUUGAGAAAUCACUAAGAGGCAUUGAGGCUUCCGGGAUUGGGAGUAACCUGCCAUGGAAAGAAACUCAGGCUGGACUACUGCAUGAUGAGAGAUCACAUCAAAGAGAACAGUCCAGCCAGCCCAACUUGAGACACCAGACAUGUGAUGGAGCCAUCUUGGAUUCCUCACCCCAGCCAACACCAUGUGGAGCAGAGGCAAGCCCUCUCCAUGGAGUUCUGCCUGAAUUGCAGACUUGUGAAAAAUAAUAAAUGGCCAUUUUAAGCCGUUAA